GGGUUGUGAGGUUAAGCGACUAAGCGUACACGGUGGAUGCCCUGGCAGUCAGAGGCGAUGAAGGACGUGCUAAUCUGCGAAAAGCGUCGGUAAGGUGAUAUGAACCGUUACAGCCGGCGAUGUCCGAAUGGGGAAACCCAGUGCAAUUCGUUGCACUAUCGUUAACUGAAUACAUAGGUUAACGAGGCGAACCGGGGGAACUGAAACAUCUAAGUACCCCGAGGAAAAGAAAUCAACCGAGAUUCCCCAGUAGCGGCGAGCGAACGGGGAGCAGCCCAGAGUCUGAAUCAGCUUGUGUGUUAGUGGAACGGUCUGGAAAGUCCGACGGUACAGGGUGAUAGUCCCGUACACCAAAAUGCACAGGUUGUGAACUCGAAGAGUAGGGCGGGACACGUGGUAUCCUGUCUGAAUAUGGGGGGACCAUCCUCCAAGGCUAAAUACUCCUGACUGACCGAUAGUGAACCAGUACCGUGAGGGAAAGGCGAAAAGAACCCCGGCGAGGGGAGUGAAAAGAACCUGAAACCGUGUACGUACAAGCAGUGGGAGCACCUUCGGGUGUGACUGCGUACCUUUUGUAUAAUGGGUCAGCGACUUAUAUUCUGUAGCAAGGUUAACCGUAUAGGGGAGCCGCAGGGAAACCGAGUCUUAACUGGGCGUUAAGUUGCAGGGUAUAGACCCGAAACCCGGUGAUCUAGCCAUGGGCAGGUUGAAGGUUGGGUAACACUAACUGGAGGACCGAACCGACUAAUGUUGAAAAAUUAGCGGAUGACUUGUGGCUGGGGGUGAAAGGCCAAUCAAACCGGGAGAUAGCUGGUUCUCCCCGAAAGCUAUUUAGGUAGCGCCUCGUGAACUCAUCUUCGGGGUAGAGCACUGUUUCGGCUAGGGGUCAUCCCGACUUACCAACCCGAUGCAAACUACGAAUACCGAAGAAUGUUAUCACGGGAGACACACGGCGGGUGCUAACGUCCGUCGUGAAGAGGGAAACAACCCAGACCGCCAGCUAAGGUCCCAAAGUCAUGGUUAAGUGGGAAACGAUGUGGGAAGGCACAGACAGCCAGGAUGUUGGCUUAGAAGCAGCCAUCAUUUAAAGAAAGCGUAAUAGCUCACUGGUCGAGUCGGCCUGCGCGGAAGAUGUAACGGGGCUAAACCAUGCACCGAAGCUGCGGCAGCGACACUAUGUGUUGUUGGGUAGGGGAGCGUUCUGUAAGCCUGCGAAGGUGUGCUGUGAGGCAUGCUGGAGGUAUCAGAAGUGCGAAUGCUGACAUAAGUAACGAUAAAGCGGGUGAAAAGCCCGCUCGCCGGAAGACCAAGGGUUCCUGUCCAACGUUAAUCGGGGCAGGGUGAGUCGACCCCUAAGGCGAGGCCGAAAGGCGUAGUCGAUGGGAAACAGGUUAAUAUUCCUGUACUUGGUGUUACUGCGAAGGGGGGACGGAGAAGGCUAUGUUAGCCGGGCGACGGUUGUCCCGGUUUAAGCAUGUAGGCUGGUUAUCCAGGCAAAUCCGGAUAAUCAAGGCUGAGGUGUGAUGACGAGGCACUACGGUGCUGAAGUAACAAAUGCCCUGCUUCCAGGAAAAGCCUCUAAGCAUCAGGUAACAUCAAAUCGUACCCCAAACCGACACAGGUGGUCAGGUAGAGAAUACCAAGGCGCUUGAGAGAACUCGGGUGAAGGAACUAGGCAAAAUGGUGCCGUAACUUCGGGAGAAGGCACGCUGGUGUGUAGGUGAAGUCCCUGCGGAUGGAGCUGAGACCAGUCGAAGAUACCAGCUGGCUGCAACUGUUUAUUAAAACACAGCACUGUGCAAACACGAAAGUGGACGUAUACGGUGUGACGCCUGCCCGGUGCCGGAAGGUUAAUUGAUGGGGUUAUCCGUAAGGAGAAGCUCUUGAUCGAAGCCCCGGUAAACGGCGGCCGUAACUAUAACGGUCCUAAGGUAGCGAAAUUCCUUGUCGGGUAAGUUCCGACCUGCACGAAUGGCGUAAUGAUGGCCAGGCUGUCUCCACCCGAGACUCAGUGAAAUUGAACUCGCUGUGAAGAUGCAGUGUACCCGCGGCAAGACGGAAAGACCCCGUGAACCUUUACUAUAGCUUGACACUGAACAUUGAGCCUUGAUGUGUAGGAUAGGUGGGAGGCUUUGAAGCGUGGACGCCAGUCUGCGUGGAGCCAACCUUGAAAUACCACCCUUUAAUGUUUGAUGUUCUAACGUUGGCCCCUGACCGGGGUUGCGGACAGUGUCUGGUGGGUAGUUUGACUGGGGCGGUCUCCUCCCAAAGCGUAACGGAGGAGCACGAAGGUUAGCUAAUCCUGGUCGGACAUCAGGAGGUUAGUGCAAUGGCAUAAGCUAGCUUGACUGCGAGCGUGACGGCGCGAGCAGGUGCGAAAGCAGGUCAUAGUGAUCCGGUGGUUCUGAAUGGAAGGGCCAUCGCUCAACGGAUAAAAGGUACUCCGGGGAUAACAGGCUGAUACCGCCCAAGAGUUCAUAUCGACGGCGGUGUUUGGCACCUCGAUGUCGGCUCAUCACAUCCUGGGGCUGAAGUAGGUCCCAAGGGUAUGGCUGUUCGCCAUUUAAAGUGGUACGCGAGCUGGGUUUAGAACGUCGUGAGACAGUUCGGUCCCUAUCUGCCGUGGGCGCUGGAGAAUUGAGGGGGGCUGCUCCUAGUACGAGAGGACCGGAGUGGACGCAUCACUGGUGUUCGGGUUGUCAUGCCAAUGGCACUGCCCGGUAGCUAAAUGCGGAAGAGAUAAGUGCUGAAAGCAUCUAAGCACGAAACUUGCCCCGAGAUGAGUUCUCCCUGAGACUAUAAGUCUCCUGAAGGAACGUUAAAGACGAUGACGUUGAUAGGCCGGGUGUGUAAGCGCAGCGAUGCGUUGAGCUAACCGGUACUAAUGAACCGUGAGGCUUAACCUUACAACGCCGAAG
rnacentral:rRNA from 1 species